rnacentral:rRNA from 1 species
CAGGGAUUGCCUUAGUAACGGUGAGUGAAGCGGCAAAAGCUCAAAUUUGAAAUCUGGCACCUUCGGUGUCCGAGUUGUAAUUUGAAGAAGGUAACUUUGGAGUUGGCUCUUGUCUAUGUUCCUUGGAACAGGACGUCACAGAGGGUGAGAAUCCCGUGCGAUGAGAUGCCCAAUUCUAUGUAAAGUGCUUUCGAAGAGUCGAGUUGUUUGGGAAUGCAGCUCUAAGUGGGUGGUAAAUUCCAUCUAAAGCUAAAUAUUGGCGAGAGACCGAUAGCGAACAAGUACAGUGAUGGAAAGAUGAAAAGAACUUUGAAAAGAGAGUGAAAAAGUACGUGAAAUUGUUGAAAGGGAAGGGCUUGAGAUCAGACUUGGUAUUUUGCGAUCCUUUCCUUCUUGGUUGGGUUCCUCCCAGCUUACUGGGCCAGCAUCGGUUUGGAUGGUAGGAUAAUGACUAAGGAAUGUGGCUCUACUUCGGUGGAGUGUUAUAGCCUUGGUUGAUACUGCCUGUCUAGACCGAGGACUGCGUCUUUUGACUAGGAUGUUGGCAUAAUGAUCUUAAGCC